rnacentral:rRNA from 1 species
UACGUAGGGACCAAGCGUUGUUCGGAUUUACUGGGCGUAAAGGGCGCGUAGGCGGCUUAACAAGUCACUUGUGAAAUCUCCGGGCUUAACUCGGAACGGCCAAGUGAAACUGUCAAGCUAGAGUGCAGAAGGGGCAAUCGGAAUUCUUGGUGUAGCGGUGAAAUGCGUAGAUAUCAGGAGGAACACCGGUGGCGAAGGCGGAUCUCUGGGCCAUUACUGACGCUGAGGAGCGAAAAGCGUGGGGGAGCGAACAGG